UGAGUAACACGUGAGUGACCUGCCUUUUAGACUGGAACAACUUACCGAAAGGUGAGCUAAUGCCGGAUGAGUUAUAUAAGUGCAUGUUUAUAUAGGAAAAGUUGGGGAGACCUGACGCUGAAAGAUGGACUCGCGUCCCAUUAGCUAGUUGGUAGGGUAAUGGCCUACCAAGGCGACGAUGGGUAGCCGGCCUGAGAGGGUGGCCGGCCGCACUGGGACUGAGACACGGCCCAGACUCCUACGGAAGGCAGCAG
rnacentral:rRNA from 1 species